CCCCGCACAAGCAGCGGAGCGUGUGGUUUAAUUCGAUGCAACGCGAAGAACCUUACCAAGGCUUGACAUGCCAGAAGUAGGAACUCGAAAGAGAGACCACCUGUAUCCAGUCAGGAACUGGCACAGGUGCUGCAUGGCUGUCGUCAGCUCGUGCCGUGAGGUGUUAGGUUAAGUCCUGCAACGAGCGCAACCCUCGUCGCUAGUUAAAUUUUUCUAGCGAUACUGCCCGUAAAACGAGGAGGAAGGUGGGGAUGACGUCAAGUCAGCAUGGCCCUUACGCCUUGGGCUACACACACGCUACAAUGGGUGAUACAACGGGUUGCGAGAGAGCGAUCUGGAGCUAAUCCCUAAAAUCAUCCUCAGUUCGGAUUGCAGGCUGAAACUGCCUGCAUGAAGUUGGAGUUGCUAGUAACCGCAGGUCAGCACACUGCGGUGAAUACGUUCUCGGGCCUU
rnacentral:rRNA from 1 species